rnacentral:rRNA from 1 species
AACCAAGACGGUUAAGUUAUACCUUAACGGUAAAAAGACAGUUAAAUAACUUAUGUAGGUCUCAUUAAGAUUCAUAUAAGAGUAAAAUCUGAAUAUGAGUUAAAAAUCUAAUUGUGACUAAAGCAUUGAAGCUGUGAUAGUUUUGAGGGAAACUGGGAUUAGAUACCCCAUUAUUCUUAACUGUAAACACGAUAAAGAUUUACCAGAGCACUACGAACUAUAAUAGUUUAAAACUCAAAGGGCUUGGCGGUGUUUUAGACCUCUCAGGGGAACCUGUCUCGUAAUCGACAAUCCACGUAGUACCUAACCUUUUUUUGCCCUACAGUUUGUAUACCGUCGUCGUCAGGUAACUUUUAAAAAUCUAGGAGUUAGCAAAUAAACAGUAAAUUUAAACGUCAGAUCAAGGUGCAGCCCAUAAAAAGGUGAGGAUGGGUUACAAUUAUAAAAUCAUAACUACGAAUUAUCUAUUUGAAUCUAAUAGACUUGAAGGAGGACUUGAAAGUAAAUUGAACUAUAAAAACAUUUUGAAUAAGGCUCUGAAACGUGC